GUCCUAGUAGCUCAGAUGGAUAGAGCAGUCGCCUCCUAAGCGGCAGGUCGCACGUUCGACUCGUGUCUAGGACGCCA
rnacentral:tRNA from 1 species